rnacentral:rRNA from 1 species
UGGGAUAUCUCAAUUCAACAUCGAGGUAAUAAACUUUAUUUUGAAUUUGGACUUCUGAAUAAAAUUAUUCUGUUAUCCCUAAAGUAGCUUUUAUUUAUUAAUCAUUAACCCCUUUCUUAGGGUAAAUGGGUCGUAUUUAACCUACUUUGUAACUGUUAAACUAAUGGGUUAUACAGUAAUUUUUUUUAAAUAAUUUUUGUUAUGUUUUUGUUUUUUUUAAAAAACCAUCGCCUCAAUGAAACUACCUUUCUUAAAUUUAUUUAAGGUUUGUAGUUAAGCUUUAUAGGGUCUUUUCGUCUUAAAAUUUUAAACAGCAUCUUGACUGUUAAUUUAAUUUCUUUUGGUUAUACUACGAGACAGUGAGAUUUUCGUUUAGCCAUUCAUACUAUUCACUAAUUAAGUGACGAUUGAUUGUGCUACAUUAUUACAGUUAUGGUUACUGCAGCCAUCAAGUUUUUUUUAAUAAUUUUUUAAUAAUUUUUGUUUUGAAACCAUUGGGC